rnacentral:rRNA from 1 species
AGCGAACGCUGGCGGCAGGCCUAACACAUGCAAGUCGAACGAACUCUUCGGAGUUAGUGGCGGACGGGUGAGUAACACGUGGGAACGUGCCUUUAUGUUCGGAAUAACUCAGGGAAACUUGUGCUAAUACCGAAUGUGCCCUUCUGGGGAAAGAUUUAUCGCGUUUAGAGCGGCCCGCGUCUGAUUAGCUAGUUGGUGAGGUAAAGGCUCACCAAGGCGACGAUCAGUAGCUGGUCUGAGAGGAUGAUCAGCCACAUUGGGACUGAGACACGGCCCAAACUCCUACGGGAGGCAGCAGUGGGGAAUCUUGCGCAAUGGGCGAAAGCCUGACGCAGCCCUGCUGCGUGAAUGAUGAAGGUCUUAGGAUUGUAAAAUUCUUUCACCGGGGACGACAAUGACGGUACCCGGAGAAGAAGCCCCGGCUAACUUCGUG